rnacentral:rRNA from 1 species
UACGAAGGGGGCUAGCGUUGCUCGGAAUCACUGGGCGUAAAGGGUGCGUAGGCGGGUCUUUAAGUCAGGGGUGAAAUCCUGGAGCUCAACUCCAGAACCUGCCUUUGAUACUGAGGAUCUUGAGUUCGGGAGAGGUGAGUGGAACUGCGAGUGUAGAGGUGAAAUUCGUAGAUAUUCGCAAGAACACCAGUGGCGAAGGCGGCUCACUGGCCCGAUACUGACGCUGAGGCACGAAAGCGUGGGGAGCAAACAGG